GACGAACGCUGGCGGCGUGCCUAAUACAUGCAAGUAGAACGGAGUGGCGCACGGGUGAGUAACGCGUAGGUAACUGCCUCAUUGCGGGGGAUAACUAAUGGAAACGAUAGCUAAUACCGCAAUCUGUGAGCUGGACCUGCGUUGUAGUAGCUAGUUGGGGAGGUAAAGGGUCACCAAGGCGACGAUACAUUGCCGGCCUGAGAGGGUGAACGGCCAACCUUGGAACGAGACACGGCCCAGACUUCUACGGGAGGCAGCAGGAGGGAAUUUUCGGAAAUGGACGGAAGGCUGACCGAGCAACGCCGGGUGAGAUAAGAAGGGUUUCAGAUCGUAAAGCUCUGUUGUUAGGGAAGCGGUAACUAAACAGAAAGGGACGGCUAACUACGUGCCACCAGCCGCGGUAAUAC
rnacentral:rRNA from 1 species